AAUAAUUAAAAAAAAAUAUAAUUUUCAAUCUAAGAAGAAACUAAUUUGGGUAAAAAAAAAAUCCUAACCUCAAAAUUGACCACGACAAAACCUAACCUGAUCUGUCACCCAGAGCUCUUGGUUUCGAAGCAAGUUAAUGUGUAAAUUAAAAUCAAAAUCAAACAAAGUCUAUCCCAAAUAAAGCUUCUUUUACAAAAUGUGUAAAAUCAAAAAAAGGUCAACAAACUAAAGUAUCAAAACAAAGUACCACUAUGAACAAGUAUAUAAAAAAAGGGUGUAUAUCAAUACUAAAUCAAAAUUACAAAUUACUUUAAAUUAAUGAACAAAAUUAGACUUUUGAAAUUAAAAGGAAACAUAAACGAGACCAAAACAAUAUACGAUAAAUAUUAAUCGACUUGAUUAUAAUAUAAGUACUAGUUUCCAGGAGCCUGAAGGGCUUAAAAUACAGCAGAGGGAGGUGAAAGUAAGUGACUCCACUCUUUUCGUUAUGCAAAUUUUGUCUGACCUUGUCUUCGGUAGUUGAAUCCCUCAAACGAAGAUUUUAUCCUUCGGAGUAGAAAAUAGAAGUCCGGUCCUCAGCAACGCUCCUCGAGAUGGUGUUGUUAACAGGCGUUGCCUUAAAUUGGAAAAUUUUUGUCCUCCCAACAAAAUGUUCCAGAGUUUUCCUCUCCCCACAAAAAGAACCUGAAUAUAUUACCCGAAUUAAAUUUAAGUUAAUUUUUUUUUUUUUUUUAAAAAUGAACGACCCUUACCUCAGUUGGUCGAGGUUCACGCCAAAACGUUUACUGAAAAUAUGUUAAUAAAUCCGGCAAACAACCGA